GCUUUUCGGAGGAGUCCACAAAAACCCUUUCGCCAGAGGUUGUUAAUGGCAAAACCUUGUCCGAAAGAGUUGACAUGUGAUGUUGAGUUAAGUACAUAUGCCAUUAGAGAAAUGGAGGAAUACAAAAAUUUCUGUGAUCGGCCAAAGGAUCUGCGCCCGCAACCAGAAGAAGUCAUUGGGGUAAGCAUUAAGUCAUAUUCAUUGUUCAUAUUGUGGUCUUAGCUUAUCGUUUUUUGUU